rnacentral:rRNA from 1 species
AAUCCAUAGGUUAAUGAGGCGAACCGGGGGAACUGAAACAUCUAAGUACCCCGAGGAAAAGAAAUCAACCGAGAUUCCCCCAGUAGCGGCGAGCGAACGGGGAGGAGCCCAGAGCCUGAAUCAGCAUGUGUGUUAGUGGAAGCGUCUGGAAAGGCGCGCGAUACAGGGUGACAGCCCCGUACACAAAAGCGCAUGUGCUGUGAGCUCGAUGAGUAGGGCGGGACACGUGGUAUCCUGUCUGAAUAUGGGGGGACCAUCCUCCAAGGCUAAAUACUCCUGACUGACCGAUAGUGAACCAGUACCGUGAGGGAAAGGCGAAAAGAACCCCGGCGAGGGGAGUGAAAAAGAACCUGAAACCGUGUACGUACAAGCAGUGGGAGCCCCACCACUAAGCCAGU